UAAUACGGAGGGUGCAAGCGUUAUCCGGAUUCACUGGGUUUAAAGGGUGCGUAGGCGGGUAGGUAAGUCAGUGGUGAAAUCUCCGAGCUUAACUUGGAAACUGCCGUUGAUACUAUCUAUCUUGAAUGCUGUGGAGGUUAGCGGAAUAUGUCAUGUAGCGGUGAAAUGCUUAGAUAUGACAUAGAACACCAAUUGCGAAGGCAGCUAGCUACACAGUUAUUGACGCUGAUGCACGAAAGCGUGGGGAUCAAACAGGAUUAGAUACCCUGGUAGUCCACGCCCUAAACGAUGGAUACUCGACAUACGCGAUACACUGUGUGUGUCUGAGCGAAAGCAUUAAGUAUCCCACCUGGGAAGUACGACCGCAAGGUUG
rnacentral:rRNA from 1 species